CAUUCAUAUUUUAGGAAUGGAGUUCGAGUCAUUUAACCAGUGCAGUAACAUUUUUCAUACUGUUAAUAUCUCUUACGUUUAACAUUUUCAUAUUUUGUUACAUAGGCGAAUUGGUAGCCGAACAGUGCAAGAAAAUUGGAGAAAUUUCAUAUAUGGUCGAUUGGUAUCGAUUAGAAGGAAACAAAAAGCUCUGUUUCGUUUU